GACGAACGCUGGCGGCGUGCCUAAUACAUGCAAGUAGAACGCUGAAGGAGGAGCUUGCUCUUCUGGAUGAGUUGCGAACGGGUGAGUAACGCGUAGGUAACCUGCCUGGUAGCGGGGGAUAACUAUUGGAAACGAGAGCUAAUACCGCAUAAUAGUAGAUGUUGCAUGAUAUGUACUUAAAAGGUGCAAUUGCACCACUACCAGAUGGACCUGCGUUGUAUUAGCUAGUUGGUGGGGUAACGGCUCACCAAGGCGACGAUACAUAGCCGACCUGAGAGGGGGAUCGGCCACACUGGGACGGAGACACGGCACAGACUCCUACGGGAGGCAGCAGUAGGGAAUCUUCGGCAAGGGACGAAAGUCUGAGCGCGCAACGCCGAGGGAGGGAAGAAGGUUUUCGGAUCGUAAAGGUCGGUUGUAAGAGAAGAACGAGCGUGAGAGUGGAAAGUUCACACUGUGACGGUAACUUAUCAGAAAGGGACGGCUAACUACGUG
rnacentral:rRNA from 1 species